AGUUAUGUAGCUCAGUGGUAGAGCACUUACCUAGUAUGUGUGAGACACUGGGUUUGGUCCUCAGCAUCACAU
rfam:Ictidomys tridecemlineatus contig012896, whole genome shotgun sequence.